rnacentral:misc_RNA from 1 species
UUUCCGUAGUGAACCUGCGGAAGGAUCAUUCAUAAUAAGUGUUUUAUGGCACUUUUUUAAAUCCAUAUCCACCUUGUGUGCAAUGUCAGGGUUGAUUUUUCUCUCGAGAGGAUCAGCCCCAAACAUCAACUAUUAUCUCAACUCUUUGUCUGAAAAAUAUUAUGAAUAAAACAAUUCAAAAUACAACUUUCAACAACGGAUCUCUUGGCUCUC